rnacentral:rRNA from 1 species
GACGAACGCUGGCGGCGUGCUUAACACAUGCAAGUCGAACGGUGAAGCGCCUUCCUUUUUGGUGGGUGUGGAUGAGUGGCGAACGGGUGAGUAACACGUGAGUAACCUGCCCCCUUCUUCUGGAUAACCGCAUGAAAGUGUGGCUAAUACGGGAUAUUCUGGGUCUGUCGCAUGAUGGGUCUGGGAAAGAUAUUGUUUCGGUGGGGGAUGGGCUCGCGCCUAUCAGCUUGUUGGUGGGGUGAUGGCCUACCAAGGCGGUGACGGGUAGCCGGCCUGAGAGGGUGGACGGUCACACUGGGACUGAGACACGGCCCAGACUCCUACGGGAGGCAGCAGUGGGGAAUAUUGCACAAUGGGCGCAAGCCUGAUGCAGCGACGCCGCGUGAGGGAUGGAGGCCUUCGGGUUGUGAACCUCUUUCGCCAGUGAAGCAGGCCUGCCUCGUUUGUGGGUGGGUUGACGGUAGCUGGAUAAGAAGCGCCGGCUAACUACGUG